AUAGCCUUAAGCUUAUUAUGAAGCAGUGGGAAAAUCACCUGAGAGCAGGAAGUCCUGCGUAGCUAAAAACUGAAUGUAGAUGUAGGGAAUUGCCCUCCUACGAACUAAGUAAAAACAGAUUCGAAACUUUAUCCUAAUUGGAAUUAAACUACUGCAUUUUAAGUCAAAGGUGUGGAGGUAAAUGAACAACCAAAUGAGACCAAGGAAAGGCUAUUAUUCAGAGCUUGCGAUAGCAAAGGAAUCCUCCACCCCACCACACCACUAGCAUUUUGACGGAAACAUAAAGAUUCUGUGGAUGAAUAAUUCAGAAACGUUCCAGUUGGAUGGACUGAUUCAGGGUCUCUCAUGAUGCUGCAGCCAAGAAAAAUAAAGAGAUAGAAUAUGGACACUUGGGAAAUAAUAAGAAAAGUGAGACAGCACUGCUACUGAUUUAAAGUCAGAAAAAGACCACUCCUGGGAGAAACACAAGUUACAUGGUAUUGCUCUUCUCACAUGAACCAUCUCCACAACCAACGUGCCCUGAAUCCCAGUGCUUGGCCAACCCCAUCACUAGUAAUCAACCAUCAUCCCAAGAAGCGAACAUAAUCAGAAGCUAAAUCAAAUAAAUAUGUCUUACUCUC
rnacentral:lncRNA from 1 species